AACGCUGGCGGCAGGCUUAACACAUGCAAGUCGAACGAGAAGCCACCUUCGGGUGGUGGAAAGUGGCAGACGGGUGAGUAACGCGUGGGAAUUUACCCUUUGGUACGGAACAACUCAGGGAAACUUGGGCUAAUACCGUAUGUGCCCUUCGGGGGAAAGAUUUAUCGCCAAAGGAUGAGCCCGCGUCGGAUUAGCUUGUUGGUGGGGUAAUGGCCCACCAAGGCUACGAUCCGUAGCUGGUCUGAGAGGAUGGUCAGCCACACUGGGACUGAGACACGGCCCAGACUCCUACGGGAGGCAGCAGUGAGGAAUAUUCGGCAAUGGGCGCAAGCCUGACCGAGCCAUGCCGCGUGAGUGAAGAAGGCCUUAGGGUUGUAAAGCUCUUUCAGUGGGGAAGAUAAUGACGGUACCCACAGAAGAAGCCCCGGCUAACUUCGUGCCAGCAGCCGCGGUGAUACGAAGGGGGCUAGCGUUGUUCGGAAUUACUGGGCGUAAAGAGCGCGUAGGCUGGUGGCUAAGUCGGGGGUGAAAUCCCAGAGCUCAACUCUGGAACUGCCUUCGAUACUGGUCGCCUAGAGUCCGGAAGAGGUGAGUGGAAUUCCGAGUGUAGAGGUGGAAUUCGUAGAUAUCGGAGGAACACCAGUGCGAAGGCGACUCACUGGUCCGGCACUGACGCUGUGCGCGAAGUGUGGGAGCAACAGAUUAGAUACCUGUAGUCCACGCCGUAACGAUGAGCUAGCUGUGGUAGCGUGCUAUCAGUGCUCAGCUACGCGAUA
rnacentral:rRNA from 1 species